rnacentral:rRNA from 1 species
CAUGGUUGUCGGUUCAGCUCGUGUCGUGAGAUGUUGGGUUAAGUCCCGCAACGAGCGCAACCCCUACGUUUAGUUGCUAACGCGUGAAGGCGAGCACUCUAGCGAACUGCCGUUGACAAAACGGAGGAAGGUGGGGAUGACGUCAAAUCAUCAUGCCCCUUAUGUUCUGGGCUACACACGUGCUACAAUGGCCGGUACAGACGGACGCAAAGCCGCGAGGUGGAGCAAAUCCUAAAAAGCCGGUCUCAGUUCGGAUUGCAGGCUGCAAUUCGCCUGCAUGAAGUCGGAAUCGCUAGUAAUCGCAGGUCAGCAUACUGCGGUGAAUACGUUCCCGGGCCUU